GGCACAUCCGGGCCUGAUGGUUCUCUCCCCCUGCGGGAAAGAUGCAAAAGGGAACCGGGUGAGCCUGCUGCAUGUCGCGGGCAAGGCCCGGGCUGUCCCCGCAACUGUAAGCGGAAUGCCCUGCAUGUUGGCUACGGCCAGACCACUGGGAGCACAUCCUGGGAAGGUUAGUGCAGGGUGCGAUACCGUAAGUCAGGAAACCUGCCAUCAGCCGGGGUUGCAG
rnacentral:ncRNA from 2 species